rnacentral:rRNA from 1 species
UACGUAGGGGGCGAGCGUUGUCCGAAGUUACUGGGCGUAAAGCGCGCGUAGGCGGGCUGUUAAGUGAGAGGUGAAAGGCUGGGGCUCAACUCCAGCAGUGCCUCUCAUACUGGCAGUCUUGAGGGCGGUAGAGAGAAGUGGAAUGGCUGGUGUAGCGGUGAAAUGCGUAGAUAUCGGGAGGAACACCUGUGGCGAAAGCGGCUCACUGGACCACAACUGACGCUGAUGCGCGAAAGCUAGGGGAGCAAACAGG